GCGGGGCAGGGAGCAGCCCCCGAGCCGGGCUGCGGCGGCGCUGCUGAUUGGCUGGCCGCUCUCUCUUCCAAGGGCUUUGGGUUCGCGCUCGGACACAACCAAUGAGGAGCGAGGGCGCUUUAAGGAGGCGGGCGUUGCUCGACCGCUUCCACUUCUGAUUGGCCCAGGGGCUUGCUUGAUUGAUCCGAAGGCCGGGAGGCGGGAGCCCAGGCCAACGGCUUCAAGCGGCGGUUGGCUUUCGCUCCCUGCGCUUCAAGCGGCUCAGCUCCGGGGCUUGCUGGAGUGUUUUCUGGCGCCCACCACCCCGCAGCUAGCUGAGGAGCUGGAGACGAAGGACGGGCGCUGGGGGACCCUCCAGAGGGGGGCCUGGGACAGCAGAUAAACGAAUUGAGUUUGGGAGAAGAAAUUGAUUUCCCUUAAAUCUCACCAGGAGUAAUUGUCAGAGCUGGAAUUUGAGCCGAGGCCUGCUGCCGCCUGACUCCAGAGCCUAAGCUCCUAACUCUUGGUAUAUACUGCCCCCCAUCCUAACAGCUAUAGGAUCCAGAGUGUGGGCACACAUGGUCCUGGGAAAUCCUCAUAGCCAUCCCAGGAAUAUGAAUGGUGACAACACCCGUUGGAGCAGACGACCAAGUCUCAUAGAGCAGAAGACACUCAGCUCACAUAGCUGGUCUGUGACUAAGAAUAUCACAUAAAUUGAAUCUGAACUCACAUUCUUAAUCAACACUAGUCUCUUCCCAUUUGACAGAGAAACAGGUCCUGAGGAGAAAUCAGAGCUGGAAUUCAGACCCAGGUCUAUCAGAAGCCCCCACCCACCCACCCACACCGGAACCAUGUUGCCUCCAGGAAGUAAUUGUCUAGUAGAUCCUGGGCUGGGUCAGGUGGGGAGUCCUCUCACCCAGCCAACCCUGUCUACAAACAAUGACUUCAUCUGGUCCCAACUUUGGCUCUAAAGGUGGUUGAGAGUGUAUUUCACAGCCCCAGAACUUUGGGGGCCUUUUCACUUAAAAGCUCUAAUCAAUGCUACAAUUUACUGAGCCAUUUUUAUGACCCAGACAAGGUGGUAGGCAUUCUGUAUGCAUCAUCUCACUGAAUCCCUAUAAUAAUUCUAGAACAUAGGGACUGUUACUGUCCCUAUUUUACAGGUGAGGAAACUGAGACCCAGGGAAGGAUGUAACAUUCCUACGUUUACCAAGCUGAAAGGUGGAACCUUGAUGGGAACUCAGAGAACCUGACUGUAGAGCCCUCAAAUCUAACUAUCUAGCAUGUGCAAGCAUAAAAAGGUGGAGUGAGCCAGGUGGAGUCUGGGCUCUGGCAAGAUGGACUAGAAGGGUUGUCUGCUUGGUUCCAGGGGUUGGACUGUAAGAUUAGAGGAGUCAAAUGUCUGAAGGGAGUAGAGAAAUGACUAUUGCUUGUUGAGCAAUGCUCCCCCCACCCCCGCCCCUAGUGCCAGACACUGUGUUAACUAAGCUACAAUAUAUGUUGAGAAGCAGGGAGCUUUGUGGUUUCUUAACCGCACUAGACCCAAACUGCCUGGAUUCCUAUCCUGGCCCUGCUGCUUUCUAGUGUGAGACCUUUAGCAAGUUACUUAACCUCUCUUGGCCUCAAUGUCUUCAUCUGUAAAACGGGGGAAAUGACAGUAAACACAUUUCAGGACUAUUGAGCGGAUUCAUAGAACAGUAGCAUGCUACUCUUUUUGUCUCCAGUGCCCUGAAACUGAACUGCUUUCUUGCAAUCACCAUCACUCCUUCUUGACUUUGGCAUAAACACUGAAAAUUAAGGCUGUUAUUUGCAAUGGAAAAUUCUGGGCAAGGUGUGUUCCCAAAAGAGAUAGCAAGUGCAAAGGUUCUGAGACAGGCAUGGACUUAAUAUGUUUGAGAUACAGCAAGUAGUCUGGCUAGAGCUAAGCAGAUGACUAAGACUCAGGAGCGCAGUUCAACUGCACAGGUGUUCAGAACAGAUGUAAAAAUGAUCCUGUACUUUAUGCUUGUUAGAGCAUAAAAGACUUUCCCUCAAGCUUUGAUCUCUGGAGAAACACAAGGCCAUGAUUACUUUUGAGGUUUCGGUAUCCAAAGUUGCUCAGGAAUUUAGAGAUGAAGCUUAGAACUCAAGCCUUCUUGGGGUGCCUGGGUAGCUCAGUGGUUGAGCGUCUGUCUUUGGCUCAGGGUGUGAUCCUGGAGUCCUGGGAUCAAGUCCCACAUUGGGCUCCCCAGUGGGAGCCUGGUUCUACCUUGCCUAUGUCUCUGCCUCUCUGUGUCUCUCAUGAAUAAAUAACUCUUAAAAAACAACAACCUUCAAGCCUUCUUGCUCUCCAUCCAGGGCUUGUAUGUGGGGAUCAGGAGACUUGCAUUCACUCAAAUAUUUACUAAACUCUUGACAGCAUAUGCCAACUGUGCUGAGCCCUGGAGAAGACUCAGCCCCUUUGAAAUCUUUAGAUUCAAAGAUGUAACCUUCUAGAAAGGAAUUAGAUAUCAAAACAUAUCCUUCCAAAAAAAAAAAAAAACAUAUCCUUCCAGAACCAAGUGAAAAA